AUACGUAGGGUGCAAGCGUUAAUCGGAAUUACUGGGCGUAAAGCGUGCGCAGGCGGUGAUGUAAGACAGAUGUGAAAUCCCCGGGCUCAACCUGGGAACUGCAUUUGUGACUGCAUCGCUGGAGUGCGGCAGAGGGGGAUGGAAUUCCGCGUGUAGCAGUGAAAUGCGUAGAUAUGCGGAGGAACACCGAUGGCGAAGGCAAUCCCCUGGGCCUGCACUGACGCUCAUGCACGAAAGCGUGGGGAGCAAACAGGAUUAGAUACCCUGGUAGUCCACGCCCUAAACGAUGUCAACUGGUUGUUGGGUCUUCACUGACUCAGUAACGAAGCUAACGCGUGAAGUUGACCGCCUGGGGAGUACGGCCGCAAGGUUGAA
rnacentral:rRNA from 1 species